GGCUUCGUAGUUCAAUGGAUUAGAAUAUCAGAUUUCGGCUCUGAUGAUAGGGGUUCGAAUCCCUUCGAAGUCAC
rnacentral:tRNA from 1 species